rnacentral:rRNA from 1 species
CGGCAGGCUUAACACAUGCAAGUCGAGGGGCAGCAUAAUGAAGUAGCAAUACGGAAUUGAUGGCGACCGGCGCACGGGUGCGUAACGCGUAUGUAACCUACCUCUAACAGGGGGAUAACACUGAGAAAUUGGUACUAAUACCCCAUAAUACUUUGGAAGGCAUCUUUUGGAGUUGAAAGUUCAGGCGGUUAUGGAUGGGCAUGCGUUGUAUUAGCUAGAUGGUGAGGUAACGGCUCACCAUGGCUACGAUACAUAGGGGGACUGAGAGGUUAACCCCCCACACUGGUACUGAGACACGGACCAGACUCCUACGGGAGGCAGCAGUGAGGAAUAUUGGUCAAUGGACGCAAGUCUGAACCAGCCAUGCCGCGUGCAGGAUGACGGCUCUAUGAGUUGUAAACUGCUUUUGUACAAGGGUAAACCCUGGGACGCGUCCCAGGCUGAAAGUACUGUACGAAUAAGGAUCGGCUAACUCCGUG